rnacentral:lncRNA from 1 species
UUCUCUGUCAGGUAGUCUCUCUCUAGGUUUUGUCCAGGGUUUUGUUCCAAGGAAAACUCAGAGUGUUUUGCUUCUCUUCCUUUUUCUGUCUCUUUUCUGUGUGACUUUUGUUUCAAUGAAACUCUAGUAUUUAUAACCUAAUAUUGGUAGCUUAGUGGGCUUUUGAGAGAGGUCCAAGUCUGAGAUUUUUUCUGUUUCUUUUUUUUUCUUUUUUUUAUUU